UCAAAUAAUAUAACAAUUUGACAAAGGUUUACAUAUCACAGACCCAAUUUAACAGAUCAAAUAAUACAUCCAGUGUUACAUUGCAAACACUGAGGAACUUCUUUACUUGCUAAUGAAACCAAAGUAUCUGAUUUUUGAAGUACUUUACUUCAAAGAGUAUAAUCAAUUCACCAAUUUGAUAAACUUUAUAGACAUACAUUUCCACAUUGCUAAACUAGGUAGCUUCAACAAAAUUUAUAGCGCCAGUUCAUUAAUUAGAGAAAAAGAAAAGAUUAUUUCAUUUCUUACAAAAAAGUAAAGACAAUGAGAGAACCUUUUUGCAUCACAUCCGCCUCACCAAUGUAAGUAUCUAGGUUUUCUUUAUCUUUCACGAAGAGGAAUAGCAAUCAAGAUGUUUUAUGAAGAAAGCAUACAACACAAUAUUUGAGGCUCAGCAUGAUCUAAAAUUUGGCCUCAAAGAAUGUCCAAAGACAACUGAAUAAGCUAUGGUUGCAUGAGUUCAAAUAUGUCGGACAACUUGCUUGUAUAAUAAUCUGGAUGAGUCUUAUUUGAAGCGUCUUGAAGAGCGGAUAGCGUUGUAACACCUG